AAUAGGAUUAAAAAUCCAUAAAAUAUUCGUGGUAGCUUAGAAAAUUAUGAUUCUUUUUGCAAUAGCUUAGUAAUAUUGCUAAGGACCGCGGGGCAAAGUUUUAGAAUUUUUAGAGCUUAUUUGGGCAGUUUUUGCAAAAAUGGUCAAUUAUAGGGACUAAAUUGAAAUUUUACAUGUUGUGAUUGAUGAUUGAUUUGGUGGGCCUAGGAGGGGCUGUGUGAUGUAAUUGAGUUGUGGACAUAUGGAUUGUGAAUAUAGAAGUGUGUUUUGAGCCUUUUUGCAGGUUGGGUAGGUCCUAGGUAUAGGGGAGACUCUGCCGGAUUUUCGGCACGACUUAGGACGUAUUGGUCUUUUUCUUUGUUUGUAUUGAGUCAAAUUUAUUAAAUGAUUGUAAUAAAAUUGUCAGGUGAGCCGAGACAGCCUUCUUCCUCCGCCCAGCCGCCACAGUGAUUGUCGUCAAGUCUGCUACAGGAGGAUUUUAUUUUGGUUAACCUGCUUUUCUCCUUCGCAGGUUGUUUAUCAAUAUUUGUGUAAUUUUAUUUACUCCUAGAAUUUCCGCAUGUGUUAGAAGUAUUUAUUUGAUUAUGGUCUGUAAUAUUAUUAUCA